rnacentral:rRNA from 1 species
GCCCAACUGAUAUGACGUGCUUGCACUGAAUUGACGUUGGAUUACCAGUGAGCGGCGGACGGGUGAGUAACACGUGGGCAACCUGCCCUGAAGUGGGGGAUAACAUCUGGAAACAGGUGCUAAUACCGCAUAACAACGAAAACCACAUGGUUUUCGUUUCAAAGAUGGUUUCGACUAUCACUUCAGGAUGGGCCCGCGGUGCAUUAGCUAGUUGGUAAGGUAACGGCUUACCAAGGCAAUGAUGCAUAGCCGAGUUGAGAGACUGAUCGGCCACAAUGGAACUGAGACACGGUCCAUACUCCUACGGGAGGCAGCAGUAGGGAAUCUUCCACAAUGGGCGCAAGCCUGAUGGAGCAACACCGCGUGAGUGAAGAAGGGUUUCGGCUCGUAAAGCUCUGUUGUUGGAGAAGAACGUGCGUGAGAGUAACUGUUCACGCAGUGACGGUAUCCAACCAGAAAGUCACGGCUAACUACGUGCCAGCAGCCGCGGUAAUACGUAGGUGGCAAGCGUUAUCCGGAUUUAUUGGGCGUAAAGCGAGCGCAGGCGGUUGCUUAGGUCUGAUGUGAAAGCCUUCGGCUUAACCGAAGAAGGGCAUCGGAAACCGGGCGACUUGAGUGCAGAAGAGGACAGUGGAACUCCAUGUGUAGCGGUGGAAUGCGUAGAUAUAUGAAAGAACACCAGUGGCGAAGGCGGCUGUCUGGUCUUCAACUGACGCUGAGGCUCGAAAGCAUGGGUAGCGAACAGGAUUAGAUACCCUGGUAGUCCAUGCCGUAAACGAUGAGUGCUAGGUGUUGGAGGGUUUCCGCCCUUCAGUGCCGGAG